UGGCGGACGGGUGAGUAACGCGUGGGUAACCUGCCCUAUACAGGGGGAUAACAGUUAGAAAUGACUGCUAAUACCGCAUAAGCGCACAGGACCGCAUGGUUCAGUGUGAAAAACUGAGGUGGUAUAGGAUGGACCCGCGUCUGAUUAGCUAGUUGGUGGGGUAACGGCUCACCAAGGCGACGAUCAGUAGCCGGCCUGAGAGGGCGACCGGCCACAUUGGGACUGAGACACGGCCCAAACUCCUACGGGAGGCAGCAG
rnacentral:rRNA from 1 species